AUCAGUAGCAGAUCGUUUGCAUUCGCGCAGGUGGACGUUGGUCGCAGGUGGACGCUGAACUUCUCAAUGCUUGGACACAACUUUUCCUCCUAGUGAACCUGAGCCUUCAAAUAUCUUUCAUUGAUUUUGAUGAGCACUAUGAAAGCUGUUCCCAGAUCGCGUGUGAAGUUGCAGCUCUGGUAGAUGGAAUGGCUACCUCUAAACGUCUUAUAUUUCUCCAACUGUGGUAGUCUUCAAGUAUAGCGUUACGGAAGGUCAUGAUGGAAAUAGGUGCUGUGAAUGGCAGUGUUAUUGGAAACAAUGAAGUUAAUUGGGCCGUUCUCAUUCGUCAAGCAAAGAGCGCU